AGCGAACGCUGGCGGCAUGCCUAACACAUGCAAGUCGCACGGGGGGGCUUCGGCCUCCCAGUGGCGGACGGGUGAGGAACGCGUAGGGACCUGUCGAGGGGUGGGGGAUAACCGCGGGAAACUGCGGCUAAUACCGCAUGACGCCGCGGCGUGACAGCCGGGGCCAAAGGCGAAAGCCGCCCGCCGAGGGGCCUGCGUCCGAUUAGCUGGUUGGCGGGAUAGCGGCCCACCAAGGCGUCGAUCGGUAGCUGGUCUGAGAGGGUGAUCAGCCACACCGGGACUGAGACACGGCCCGGACUCCUACGGGAGGCAGCAGUGGGGAAUAUUGGACAAUGGGCGCAAGCCUGAUCCAGCAAUGCCGCGUGGGUGAAGAAGGUCUUCGGAUUGUAAAGCCCUUUCGGCGGGGACGAUGGUGACGGUACCCGCAGAAGAAGCCCCGGCUAACUUCGUG
rnacentral:rRNA from 1 species